rfam:Pteropus alecto contig20878, whole genome shotgun sequence.
GUCUAUGGCCAUGCCACCCUGAACAAGCCCGAUCCCGUCUGAUAUCAGAAGCUAAGCAGGGUUGGGCCUGGUUAGUACUCGGAUGGGAGACCACCUAGGAAGACCAGAUGCUGUAGGUG